rnacentral:rRNA from 1 species
CCUACGGGAGGCUGCAGUGAGGAAUAUUGGUCAAUGGGAGAGAUCCUGAACCAGCCAAGCCGCGUGAGGGAAGACGGCCCUAUGGGUUGUAAACCUCUUUUGUCGGAGAACAAAACCCGGGACGUGUCCCGGACUGCGUGUAUCCGAAGAAAAAGCAUCGGCUAACUCCGUGCCAGCAGCCGCGGUAAUAAGUAGGAGGCGAGCGUUAUCCGGAAUGAAUGGGCGUAAAGGGUGCGUAGGUGGUUUGGCAAUUUAGUAGCGUAACUCCAAGGCUCAACCUUGGAACUACUACUAAAACUGUUGGACGUGAGUGCAGGAGGGGCAACCGGAAUUCCUAGUGUAGCGGUGGAAUGCGUAGAUAUUAGGAGGAACACCAGUGGCGAAGGCGGGUUGCUAGACUGUAACUGACACUGAGGCACGAAAGCGUGGGGAGCAAACAGGAUUAGAUACCCGAGUAGUC